GGGGCCUUGGCGCAAUUGGUAGCGCAUCUGCUUUGCAAGCAGGAGGGUUAGGGGUUCGAGUCCCUAGGCUCCA
rnacentral:tRNA from 1 species